ACAUCUGUGGUCUAUGAUGUAUUUUACUGUGUCUGAGUUAACGGUGAAGUACACUUUAUUCGUCACUACCCCUGAGACCACAAAUUG